GAUGAACGCUGGCGGCGUGCCUAAUACAUGCAAGUCGAGCGAACAGACGAGGAGCUUGCUCCUCUGACGUUAGCGGCGGACGGGUGAGUAACACGUGGAUAACCUACCUAUAAGACUGGGAUAACUUCGGGAAACCGGAGCUAAUACCGGAUAAUAUAUUGAACCGCAUGGUUCAAUAGUGAAAGACGGUUUUGCUGUCACUUAUAGAUGGAUCCGCGCCGCAUUAGCUAGUUGGUAAGGUAACGGCUUACCAAGGCAACGAUGCGUAGCCGACCUGAGAGGGUAAUCGGCCACACUGGAACUGAGACACGGUCCAGACUCCUACGGGGGGCAGCAGUAGGGAAUCUUCCGAAAUGGGCGAAAGCUUGACGGAGCAACGCCGCGUGAGUGAUGAAGGUCUUCGGAUCGUAAAACUCUGUUAUUAGGGAAGAACAAAUGUGUAAGUAACUAUGCACGUCUUGACGGUACCUAAUCAGAAAGCCACGGCUAACUACGUG
rnacentral:rRNA from 1 species